rnacentral:rRNA from 1 species
AUUGAACGCUGGCGGCAGGCCUAACACAUGCAAGUCGAACGAGUGGCGGACGGGUGAGUAAUGUCUGGGAAACUGCCCGUUGGAGGGGGAUAACUACUGGAAACGGUAGCUAAUACCGCAUACCAUCGGAUGUGCCUAGCUGGGAUUAGCUAGUAGGUGGGGUAACGGCUCACCUAGGCGACGAUCCCUCGCUGGUCUGAGAGGAUGACGAGCCAAAUUGGAACGGGGACACGGUCCAGACUCCUAGGGGAGGAGGAAGUGGGAAUUAUUGCAAAUUGGGGGAAGGCCUAAUGAGGCCAGGCCGCGUGUAUGAAAAGGGCCUUCGGGUUGUAAGGUACUUUCAGCGAGGAGGCGGUACUCGAAGAGGAAGCACCGGCUAACUCCGUGCCAGCAGCCGCGGUAAUUC